rnacentral:rRNA from 1 species
CCUACGGGAGGCAGCAGUGAGGAAUAUUGGUCAAUGGACGAGAGUCUGAACCAGCCAAGUAGCGUGAAGGAUGACUGCCCUAUGGGUUGUAAACUUCUUUUAUAUGGGAAUAAAAUGUUCCACGUGUGGGUUUUUGUAUGUACCAUAUGAAUAAGGAUCGGCUAACUCCGUGCCAGCAGCCGCGGUAAUACGGAGGAUCCGAGCGUUAUCCGGUUUUAUUGGGUUUAAAGGGAGCGUAGGUGGAUUGUUAAGUCAGUUGUGAAAGUUUGCGGCUCAACCGUAAAAUUGCAGUUGAAACUGGCAGUCUUGAGUACAGUAGAGGUGGGCGGAAUUCGUGGUGUAGCGGUGAAAUGCGUAGAUAUCACGAAGAACUCCGAUUGCGAAGGCAGCUCACUGGACUGCAACUGACACUGAGGCUCGAAAGUGUGGGUAUCAAACAGGAUUAGAUACCCGAGUAGUC